CCGUAUACGCCCUACGGGGGAAAAAUUUAUUGCUAUUAGAUGAGCCUAUAUUAGAUUAGUUAGUUGGUGAGGUAAAGGCUUACCAAGACAAUGAUCUAUAGCUGAUCUGAGAGGAUGAUCAGCCACACUGGAACUGAGAUACGGUCCAGACUCCUACGGGAGGCAGCAGUGGGGAAUAUUGGACAAUGGGCGAAAGCCUGAUCCAGCCAUGCCGCAUGAGUGAAGAAGGCCUUCGGGUUGUAAAGCUCUUUUAGUGAGGAAGAUAAUGACGGUACUCACAGAAGAAGUCCUGGCUAACUCCGUGCCAGCAGCCGCGGUAAUACGGAGAGGGCUAGCGUUAUUCGGAAUCAUUGGGCGUAAAGGGCGCGUAGGCGGGUUAGUAAGUUAAAAGUGAAAUCCCAAGGCUCAACCUUGGAACUGCUUUUAAAACUGCUAGUCUAGAGAUUGAAAGAGGAUAGAGGAAUUCCUAGUGUAGAGAUGAAAUUCGUAAAUAUUAGGAGGAACACCAGUGGCGAAGGCGUCUAUCUGGUUCAAAUCUGACGCUGAGGCGCGAAGGCGUGGGGAGCAAACAGGAUUAGAUACCCUGNUAGUCCACGCUGUAAACGAUGAAUGUUAAAUAUGGGAAGUUUACUUUCUGUAUUAUAGCUAACGCGUUAAACAUUCCGCCUGGGGACUACGGUCGC
rnacentral:rRNA from 2 species